GGUUAGAUGGCCGAGUUGGUCUAAGGCGCCGCGUUAAGGCCGCGGUCUCUUCGGGGGCGUGGGUUCAAAUCCCACUCUAAUCA
rfam:Smittium mucronatum strain ALG-7-W6 scaffold-2804, whole genome shotgun sequence.